rfam:Eutrema salsugineum unplaced genomic scaffold scaffold_17, whole genome shotgun sequence.
AACCCAUGGUGAGGGCACUCUCUUCGGUACUCCUUGUACCUUUCCCAAGCUUCGCAGAAAGCUUCACCAGGUUGCUGUUUAAAUGACGAGAUCUUGUUCUUCAUAGCU